rnacentral:tRNA from 1 species
GCCUCUGUAGCUCAGUUGGUAGAGCAAUGGACUGAAAAUCCAUGUGUCGUUGGUUCGAUUCCGACCGGAGGCACCA